rnacentral:rRNA from 1 species
AAUGAACGUUGGCGGCGUGGAUUAGGCAUGCAAGUCGAGCGAGAACCCCGCAAGGGGGGACAGCGGCGAAAGGGACAGUAAUGUGUAGAUUAUCUGCCCUCAGGUUCGGGAUAGCUGCGGGAAACUGCAGGUAAUACCGGAUAACGUCUUUGGACCAAAGGUGUGAUUCCGCCUGAGGAUGAGUCUGCAUCCUAUUAGCCUGUUGGUGGGGUAAUGGCCUACCAAAGCUAUGAUGGGUAGCGGGUGUGAGAGCACGACCCGCGUCAUUGGGACUGAGACACUGCCCAGACACCUACGGGAGGCA